rnacentral:rRNA from 1 species
CCUACGGGUGACCGCAGUGAGGAAUAUUGGUCAAUGGACGGAAGUCUGAACCAGCCAAGCCGCGUGCAGGAAGACGGCUCUAUGGGUUGUAAACUGCUUUUGUUCGAGGAUAAACAUGAAUACGUGUAUUCAGCUGCCAGUACCGUAAGCAUAAGGAUCGGCUAAAUCCGUGCCAGCAGCCGCGGUAAUACGGAGGUUCCGGGCGUUAUCCGGAUUUAUUGGGUUUAAAGGGUGCGCAGGCGGAUGCAUAAGUGUGAGGUGAAAUGUCCGGGCUUAACCGGGGAACUGCAUCGAAAACUGGUGGUCUAGAGAGCAGAUGCGGUAGGCGGAAUGUGUGGUGUAGCGGUGAAAUGCUUAGAGA